rnacentral:rRNA from 1 species
GUGCACGCUGGCGGCAGGCCUAACACCUGCAAGUCGAACGGCAGCACAAGAGAGCUUGCUCUCUGGGUGGCGAGUGGCGGACGGGUGAGGAAUGCAUCGGAAUCUGCCCAUUUGUGGGGGAUAACCUCGGGAAACCGGGACUAAUACCGCAUACGACCUACGGGUGAAAGCAGGGGAUCUUCGGACCUUGCGCAGAUGGAUGAGCCGAUGCCGGAUUAGCUAGUUGGAGGGGUAAAGGCCCACCAAGGCGACGAUCCGUAGCUGGUCUGAGAGGAUGAUCAGCCACACUGGGACUGAGACACGGCCCAGACUCCUACGGGAGGCAGCAGUGGGGAAUAUUGGACAAUGGGCGCAAGCCUGAUCCAGCCAUGCCGCGUGUGUGAAGAAGGCCUUCGGGUUGUAAAGCACUUUUGUUGGGAAAGAAAAGCAGCCGGUUAAUACCCGGUUGUCAUGACGGUACCCAAAGAAUAAGCACCGGCUAACUUCGUG